AUUUAAAUCUGUUUAUGUUAACCUGUUUUGCUUAGUUUUGAAUUUCAGUGACAGAAGGUCAUCUGUAUCUUAGAUUCAGAAAGUCCUUGAUAGCUCCUUCUCUCCCUCUCUCUCUCCUUUUCCCCCUCCCUCCCUCCUUCCCUCCCUCUCUCCCUCUCCCCUCCCUCUAUUUUGGGAACAAAAGAAACCAAGAGUAGAAUAAAUUUCAUGAACAUAGUGUGUUCCAGUCAGGACGCUGCUCCUUGAUGGGAAUCCAGGACUUGGAUUGGUGAAGCCUUCUGCACUUCAUUUCUUCAGAAGAUUCUGCUUCGACUUACUUGAAACGUUCCUCCAGGCCAGAUACUAAAAUGGAGACACAGAGAAAGGAUGUGAUCUGUGGCGGCACUCUGGCAGCUCAGCCAGGAAUGGCGGAAUAAAGAUCAAGGAAAGAAGGAACCCGAUUCCUCUGUGAUUCUCCUGUGCUGAGGAUCAGAGCAGCCCAGCACUGAAAGAUUCUGAGAAGCUGGCAGCCCGCAGUGAUCCUUUUAGGGAAGUCUGUAUGUGAGCUCCUCCAGUAGAGAUAUCAAGCUCCUGACUAAUGCAUACUUCUGUCCCGUGUCCUCCAUUGCUAAAGCGUCCUUCCUUGUUCUUCCUUGUGAGCCACGAAUAGAUUCCAGCACUUACCAUGCCGGGCUGAAUUCUGGCUACAGUCUUCUAUCCAAUUGUUCAUACAAGUUCCAGUCAUUAGCUUUCCAGCCUGAAUUCAUCCUAAGGCCUGUGCCCAGUUAUCUUUCAGAGGCAAUGCUUUUUUAUGCGAUUUUACUGUGCCUGUUUCUCAACACACUAACCCUGCCAGCCUCUGCUUAGAUUUUUAAGGCUCUCAAUGUUUAGACCCAGCUCCAUCAUCUAACCAUCAUUUUCCUGCCAUAUACCCAACCCACAAGCACGGGACUCUGGACUACAUUAGGAUGUUGUAUUUAUAGUUUCUGAGUUCAAUCUACAGUUUGAUUUUUACUUUUUAUAUUUUUAUUUUUAUUUUAGCCCAGGUGGUCCUGGAAUUCCCUUGUAUAGCCCAAGCUGCCUCAAACUCUUCCUGAUCCUCCUGCAUCUGCCUUCUGAGUGCUGUGUCAACAUGCUUAGCUUUACUUCCCCUUCUGCAUCUGUUCCCUAAGUCCUAGAACUUUCCUAGCUCUUUUGAAGCCUCUGUUGACUUCCAUAGCUGUACCAGUAUCCUUGCUGCUAAUACUCGUUACCUUUGUAGUUCAGUAUCUCCUAGAGUGACUCUCCCAUCGCAUUUGUGUGUCCCUGACACUCACUCAAGCCAUUAACCUUCCGGAAGGGCAACGUUUGUGUUGUCUCUUUGACUUACUUAUAGGACAGAGGAUGCUAAAGAGGAUAAAUAAAAUGGAGCGAAGGGCAAACCAUGGAGUCAAAAUUCUUCAGAAUUCAGUGGAUUAGCCUGGCCAAUUGUCUGUCUAUGAGAGCAUGGGGGCUUUGAAUGGAAUUUUUGUUUUGUGGGGAAGGGUGGCCCCCGUUUGGAUUAAAACGCUCUCAAAAGUCCGUGUGUCAAAGGCCCGGGCUGCAGCUUGGCUCUGUUGACAUGAAUUUUAAGAAGUGGCCUAGCGGAAGGUUCUGUAUGUCACGGGGAGCAUAUCUUUCCUUCCUCUCCUUUCUCUUCCUGGCAUGAGGUGAAUUAUUUGCUGUGUUAUUGCCAUUACCAUUUGGUGUUCCCAACAAGAGACCUAAAGGUAAUGGGUUUGCUUGAACAUGGUCUGGAAAAUUCUAAAGCUAUAAGCCAAAUUCAUCUUUUACCUUUAUUAGUUGAUUUCUCUAAGGAAUUUAUUAUACAGUUGAAGGCCAAUAGAAGAGUCGUAGACAAGGAAGGGAAUAUAUGUACAUCAUUGUUGCUGUUUGCUUUUCUGCAGGGUAGUUUAUCCUCAACUGUCAGCUGAAUUUUUGGUACCUCCCAGAACACCACAUUUUUUAACCAGAAGAUGUGUUUGUUGCAUAUGAAAGCAAUAUCUGGGGCUUGUGAGAUGGCUCAAUGGGUAAAAGAAUGAAAAAAAAAUAGAAUUUCCUAACAGUUAUCCUCUCAAAUGAGUUUAGGCAGGUGUCAAGAAAGAGGCAUGUCUGAUACAUCACUGUUGGGUGAACAGACAUCACUAACCCAGACUCAGAAGGGCCUCUGUAUGAGGGCAAGCCUGGUGACCUGAGUUCCCAUCACCAAAACCCGGGUGAAGUAGGAGAGGACUGACUUCAGAAAAUGGUCCUCUGACUUGCAGUGAACAUCGUGGCGUGCAACCUUUGCCUAUAAUAAGAAUAAAAUUUAUCUUCCUUGUCAAGGUAGUGAAGCAUUUAAUUUUCUUUCU